UUUCAGGCUUUUAGAUUCUUUCUGGUUUGAAAUGAGAGAAGACACUAAAAUUGGCACCAGCAGAGCAGGAGCUGGCUCAACACGCUGAAACUUAGAAGCAAUCCACUGCCAGCAAGCAAUCCAGGGAGCACUGCCGAAUGCUUGAAGAGGUUCCCAGUCCUAUCUGUGCAGCCACGGGACACAGAAAAUGUGCUUGCCAGCAUCAUCAGCAUCAUGCUACAGGUUGCUGACCCGGCGGUUAUGCUGUUGCACUGCAUUUGUCUCUGUAGUGACAGGUUUGGUUGGACUGUGAUUAUCUCAGUUUUCUGUCAUUACAUGAGAACUAUUUCUGACAGCUUACUCUAAAGCCAGCUCAUUACAGGCAAAUAGAGAUCUAAACAGAAAUUGGGGUUAAAAGACAUUUAUUACAGUGUGGCAAGCGUGUACUUGGCAUCUUCAAUCUGAUACUGCCACACUCAUAAUAUUGUGGGUGCUGGUGGCAUUUCCAAGUGGAUUUAUCCUCCUGCCCUUUGGAGAGGUGGUGGUAGGGCAGGGUCUUUACUCACUGUAAAUGGUAUUAUAGGAACAAUGAAGUCAUAGAAUGAUAGAAUGGUUUGUGAUGAAAGGGUCAUUCCCUUACAGCCAGAGACAAGAGGAACAGAUGGCAAUGGGAUACCAGCUUUCCACCAUUCCUUGCUGUUUAUUGCCCAGAUCUCUGCAUCUGUACUAUUAGUUCCUUAAGUGUAUCCUUUCUUUCCCUUUCUUCCCCCCUAAUCUCCAGUAUGCUUAGCAAUUGGCAUGAAAGCAUCCCAGCUCCUCAACAGACAGCCUCCUUUCUGAGUAAAGAUUAAAAAUGGAAAUUUUUAGUACAGGAUGUGCUGUUUCAGAAAGUUGAAAAGAAGUUGGGAGACUGAUGUGCAGCAUCCAGAAGCCUCAGUGCUAGCAGCAGCGAUCAACAUCUGCUGUAAUUACUUUCUUUAGAACUUAACAAAUGUACUGAUAAUUUUGGUGGAAAGAAGAAUAAAUGGGGAAAGAUCUGGAAGAUAGUCUUGGUG
rnacentral:lncRNA from 1 species